UAGUUAAUUGUUAGAACUCCAACUAUAUUUGUAGACUUGAGCUUAAACCACUUCCUAUAGUACCAUUUCAGACAGACACAAAUCACCUUGUCGAUUGAGGAGAGGCCAAGUGGCAUUAUCAAAGGAGGAAAAGGACUUCGUUAGAGGAGUUGAUUUCCCUGAACGGGUGGUGUGGAGAUAGGAAGAUGGGACGGGUGUGAAAAAAUAGAGUCAAAUUACAUUAGAGUCUUGGUGCCAACUAAUUAUACAUAUACUAAAUGUGAGUUCAGGUUACUAUUUUCAAUUGUUCAUCCGCGUUGAGAAAUGACCCAGCUGUCCUUGGGUUUGGGUUUGAAUCACAAAAUUGCUGCAGGUGUUUUUGGAGAGUCAGAAAAGUGCUGUGGGGGGUUUUUGGGGAGAGUGCGUAUUAAAACUGAGUUGAGGUGGUGAGUUGAGAUCGGGGAGGGAAAUGACGUAGCUGUCCCUGCUUUUAUUGACGUAGGUGUUCGGUAUGUGGGUGAAAAUGUGAAAUCCCUAAUGUUGUUUAAUAUAUCAACUACGAAAUGGUUUGGUUUUUGUGUUUUUUUUUUUGUCGAGAAUCCAGAAUCAUCGAGAGAGAGGGAGGGAGGGAGAGCGCUUCAGACUGAAAGUGUGCUAGAACGAUUUAGAGAUAGAGAGAGAGAUCUGAUCCCUCAUCGUUGCAGGCAGAAAGAGAGAGUGAUUUGCGUUUUGAUUGGUCCAGUUUGUGACGAGAAGAUUGGGUUGAACACAAGUGGAACAGAUAGAGGUUCUAGGCGGUUGGUUGGGUUGAUUGGGGAAAAUGGUGGAGCUGCAGACGCCAAAAAUCUACGGGUGGAGCUAUACUUGAACCAUUGAAUCAACUUUUGUCAUCAGAGUUGACCAACUUGAUUUACCUGAUCAUGUUGUUGUUGUUCACUGGGGAGUUUGCAAAGAUGAUGCUAAAAGAUGGGAAAUUCCAGCAGCCCCACAUCCGCCAGAAACAGUAGUUUUCAAGGAUAAGGCUUUGCGAACCCGAUUGCAGGAAAGGAAAAUUUCCCUCAAGUCUGCGUGACAACAUAUUAAGUUAUUACUGGGAAAGGAGUUCUGUACAUAUUUUUCUCCUUUGGUCAUGCAUAGCAAAAGGAGGGAGCAAAUGGACGUUGGGCAUUGUUUACUUGAGAAGAAGGAACUGCAGGAUUUCUUUUUGUUUUCAAGCUAAGUGAAAGUACAUGGUUGAAAUGUAAGGGCAAUGACUUCUACAUUCCCCUUUCAAGCGCAAAUAACUCACCUGCUGCAGCAAAGGAGGAUCAAUAUGAAGGUGCUGAUGUAGAUGAGGGAAGUGCAGAAGAAAUAGAUGAAAGUUCUUUUACUGAAUAUGCCAAUGGAAUAAUAAAUGAAAUAAGGAUCUUGGUGAGUGGCAUUUCCUCUGAGAAGAGUCGAAAGACAAAAUCCAAAGAAGCACAAGAAAGCAUUCUUCAAGAAAUAGAAAAAUUGGCUGCUGAAGCCUAUAGUAUCUUCAGAAGCACUGUUCCCACAUUUACUGAGGAAGCUAUUUCAGAAUCUGAAGAAUUAGCACUGAAAAUAACCUCAGGGACAGGCACGGGAUUUGAAAUAUUGUGCCAAGGUUUUAAUUGGGAAUCUCAUAAAUCUGGAAGAUGGUACAUGGAGCUCAAAGAUAAAGCUGCUGAAUUGUCUUCACUAGGUUUCACUGUGAUUUGGUUACCACCCCCUGCAGAUUCUGUGUCGCCUGAAGGGUACAUGCCGACGGAUUUGUAUAAUCUGAACUCCAGGUACCCUAAUACCCUAUGACAGAUUAGUUAGUGGUAUCUCAAUCAACUACUGUUAUUCAGACAGGGUGUGGCAUUGAAUUUUUCAACUGGUUGCAGUCCAGGUAUGGAUUUUCAAAGGAGAUAAUGGCAACAAAAACUGGAAGAACAAAGAUGAUGAGACUUUUACGAGAUGAUGAUGCAGAGGAUCAAGGUAGUCAAAGACAAGGAGAGAGAAUAUCUAAUUAUCAAGCUUUGGUUGCUGUUUUUGAUAUGGACACACGUCCUCAGAUUAUAUCAAAAAAGUGGAAACAAGGUCUCAGUUAUGCUCCAUUCGAGUCAUCGUCGCAGAAAUACUUGACGGACAAUGGGAGUGUCUUUAUGACCAAGAUAUCUGUUACUUUGAACAAUAGAAGAGAGGGUGUACUUUUUGAAUUUUAAAGAAAUGGAAGCCCGUAAGGAUGACAAGAAUCUAUCUCUCUCCCAAAGCUCAUUGACCCACACUUGCAUCAAUGGAUUCAAAACCUGUUGAUCAGUUUCAUUAAUUCAAGCAACAAAUUCAGAUGAGGUUUUACUUGCAUAUGAAAUGAAUGGAGAGGUGUUCUUCAAAGAUCGAUGAUGCCAUGAGCAAGAAGUGACGUCUCUUCUUCCUGUAUUUGUUGCCUCCUCAAGUGGGAAGGAGUUGGGAAAGUGGAAAUCCCCAUGAGGCUGUAGAUUUCUAGGGUUUGGCCAAAACCCAGUUUUUUGACUCAGGAUUUCAUGGGUUGAAAACAAGAGGGGAAGAGAGGGUUUGGAGGGAUUAAUUAGUAAAAAGGAAAGUGAUGGUGAAGAGGUCAAUGUUGAGGAGGUACAGUCAGAAGUGUACAGAACAGUUAUAAACACCUUUUGCAGAGUGUGGUUGUUGACCCAUCCACUGGAGUACAAGAAAGUCUACGGGUCAAAAUGAUUUCUCUCUUGAAUAUAUUCCUUAAAUAGUGCAAAACCAUGGUAUUAAUCAAGCAAAACAUGGUGAUACAUCAAGCUUCAACAAAGGAGAUUCUCAACGCAUGGUAGAUCAAGAGACUUUAGAUCAAAUCAGAUCUAAGCCAUCAAACAACCAAAGAAGUUUGUGCAGUAAUGGUGGCAAAUCUCUAGAAAAUUUGACGCUACUAUGAUAAGAUCAUUCUUUUAAGUUUGAGAGUAAGAAAAGACAUUAUGGUUAUGAUUUUCAUCCCGCAGCAAAGCGAGGGCACUGUUGCUAGUUUUGAACGAGGCCAAAAUUGGAAGGUGCAAAUAGAAGCUCUUGUGGCUUGUUCUUGCGCAUAAAACAUAAAAUUUUGGCACAAUGUACAUUUGGUUGUGAUUUGAAUAAGAUAAAUAUCUUGAUGGAGGCAGCAGUUUCAUUAAUAUCUUGAUGGAAUGUACUACCUCACAUAAUUUGUUCUGAAUAGAUUAACUCAUUUAUGCAAAAUUAGUUUAAU
rnacentral:lncRNA from 1 species